GGCUCCAUAUUAUAGUGGUUAGCAUGUCUGCUUUACACGCAGAAGGUCCUGGGUUCGCACCCCAGGUAGAGCCA
rnacentral:tRNA from 1 species